AGGGGCUUGCCCUUCAUGAGAGUGGCGCACGGGUGCGUAACACGUAUGUAACCUACCUUAGUCAGGGGGAUAGCCUCUCGAAAGAGAGAUUAAGACCGCAUAACAUUAUGCUGUGGCAUCGCAGGAUAAUCAAAUAUUUAUAGGACUAAGAUGGGCAUGCGCAACAUUAGCUAGUUGGUGUGGUAACGGCAUACCAAGGCGACGAUGUUUAGGGGAUCUGAGAGGAUGACCCCCCACACUGGUACUGAGACACGGACCAGACUCCUACGGGAGGCAGCAGUAAGGAAUAUUGGUCAAUGGACGGAAGUCUGAACCAGCCAUGCCGCGUGCAGGAAGACGGCCCUACGGGUUGUAAACUGCUUUUGCAGGGGAAUAAACCUUCUUACGAGUAAGAAGUUGAAUGUACCUUGAGAAUAAGGAUCGGCUAACUCCGUGCCAGCAGCCGCGGUAAUACGGAGGAUCCAAGCGUUAUCCGGAUUUAUUGGGUUUAAAGGGUGCGUAGGCGGCUUUUUAAGUCAGGGGUGAAAGACGGUAGCUCAACUAUCGCAGUGCCCUUGAUACUGAAGAGCUUGAAUGUACUUGAGGUAGGCGGAAUGUGACAAGUAGCGGUGAAAUGCAUAGAUAUGUCACAGAACACCAAUUGCGAAGGCAGCUUACUAAAGUAUGAUUGACGCUGAGGCACGAAAGCGUGGGGAUCAAACAGGAUUAGAUACCCUGGUAGUCCACGCCCUAAACGAUGAACACUCGAUGUUGGCGAUAUACGGUCAGCGUCUAAGCGAAAGCGUUAAGUGUU
rnacentral:rRNA from 1 species